CGCGUAGGUGGCCUGUUAAGUCGAACGUGAAAUCCCCGGGCUCAACCCGGGAACUGCGUCCGAGACUGGCAGGCUCGAAUCCGGGAGAGGGAUGUGGAAUUCCAGGUGUAGCGGUGAAAUGCGUAGAUAUCUGGAGGAACACCGGCGGCGAAGGCGGCAUCCUGGACCGGUAUGACGCUGAGGCGCGAAAGCCAGGGGAGCAAACGG
rnacentral:rRNA from 1 species